rnacentral:rRNA from 1 species
GAGAAAGCUUGCUUUCUUGCUGACGAGUGGCGGACGGGUGAGUAAUGCUUGGGAAUCUGGCUUAUGGAGGGGGAUAACGACGGGAAACUGUCGCUAAUACCGCGUAUUAUCGGAAGAUGAAAGUGCGGGACUGAGAGGCCGCAUGCCAUAGGAUGAGCCCAAGUGGGAUUAGGUAGUUGGUGGGGUAAAGGCCUACCAAGCCAGCGAUCUCUAGCUGGUCUGAGAGGAUGACCAGCCACACUGGAACUGAGACACGGUCCAGACUCCUACGGGAGGCAGCAGUGGGGAAUAUUGCGCAAUGGGGGGAACCCUGACGCAGCCAUGCCGCGUGAAUGAAGAAGGCCUUCGGGUUGUAAAGUUCUUUCGGUAUUGAGGAAGGUUGAUGUGUUAAUAGCACAUCAAAUUGACGUUAAAUACAGAAGAAGCACCGGCUAACUCCGUGCCAGCAGCCGCGGUAAUACGGAGGGUGCGAGCGUUAAUCGGAAUAACUGGGCGUAAAGGGCACGCAGGCGGUUAUUUAAGUGAGGUGUGAAAGCCCCGGGCUUAACCUGGGAAUUGCAUUUCAGACUGGGUAACUAGAGUACUUUAGGGAGGGGUAGAAUUCCACGUGUAGCGGUGAAAUGCGUAGAGAUGUGGAGGAAUACCGAAGGCGAAGGCAGCCCCUUGGGAAUGUACUGACGCUCAUGUGCGAAAGCGUGGGGAGCAAACAGGAUUAGAUACCCUGGUAGUCCACGCUGUAAACGCUGUCGAUUUGGGGGUUGGGGUUUAACUCUGGCGCC